rnacentral:rRNA from 1 species
GAUGAACGCUGGCGGCGUGCCUAAUACAUGCAAGUCGAGCGAAUGGAUUAAGAGCUUGCUCUUAUGAAGUUAGCGGCGGACGGGUGAGUAACACGUGGGUAACCUGCCCAUAAGACUGGGAUAACUCCGGGAAACCGGGGCUAAUACCGGAUAACAUUUUGAACCGCAUGGUUCGAAAUUGAAAGGCGGCUUCGGCUGUCACUUAUGGAUGGACACGCGUCGCAUUAGCUAGUUGGUGAGGUAACGGCUCACCAAGGCAACGAUGCGUAGCCGACCUGAGAGGGUGGUCGGCCAGACUGGGACUGAGCCACGGCCCAGACUCCUACGGGAGGCAGCAGUAGGGAAUCUUCCGCAAUGGACGAAAGUCUGACGGAGCAACGCCGCGUGAGUGAUGAAGGCUUUCGGGUCGUAAAACUCUGUUGUUAGGGAAGAACAAGUGCUAGUUGAAUAAGCUGGCACCUUGACGGUACCUAACCAGAAAGCCACGGCUAACUACGUGCCAGCAGCCGCCGUAA